GAUAAGAUGGCUGAGGUUAAAGCGGUAAGCUGUAAACUUACUAACGGAAAUUUUUUUCUCUUAUC
rnacentral:tRNA from 1 species